rnacentral:rRNA from 1 species
AGAGUUUGAUCCUGGCUCAGAUUGAACGCUGGCGGCAUGCCUUACACAUGCAAGUCGAACGGCAGCACGGGAGCAAUCCUGGUGGCGAGUGGCGAACGGGUGAGUAAUAUAUCGGAACGUGCCCAGUCGUGGGGGAUAACGUAGCGAAAGCUACGCUAAUACCGCAUACGAUCUACGGAUGAAAGCGGGGGAUCGCAAGACCUCGCGCGAUUGGAGCGGCCGAUAUCAGAUUAGGUAGUUGGUGAGGUAAAGGCUCACCAAGCCGACGAUCUGUAGCUGGUCUGAGAGGACGACCAGCCACACUGGGACUGAGACACGGCCCAGACUCCUACGGGAGGCAGCAGUGGGGAAUUUGGACAAUGGGCGCAAGCCUGAUCCAGCAAUGCCGCGUGCAGGAUGAAGGCCUUCGGGUUGUAAACUGCUUUUGUACGGAACGAAACGGCGAGCUCUAAUACAGCUUGCUAAUGACGGUACCGUAAGAAUAAGCACCGGCUAACUACGUGCCAGCAGCCGCGGUAAUACGUAGG